UCGAAAAAUCAUUGCAAUGGCAGGUUUACAAAUUUAAUUGGAACAGAGUAAAUCUAAACAAUAAGGUGAUAAUCACUCUCACUCGAAUUUGUUUUCGUUUAUUUUAAAGUUUUUAAAUUGCUUCUGUUAACUUAUUCUGGUGGUUUCUCUCAAUUUCGGCCAACAUCUUCGAUUUGUCGUCCCCUGCUUCGAUUCCAUCGAUUUCUGUUGAUUCCGACGACUUCCCUUCUUCAUAAGAGGUUGUACGUUGGACAUAAUGCAAAUGUUGCACAACAUCAGUGAAGGUUCGUAUAUUUAUUUUCUAUAAUACCAAUGUAUUGAUAAGUAUAUGUAACAAGGGUAAAAAUGUCUUUUUCUUACGCCCAAUGUGAGAUGAUAUGGAGGGAGUGGAUAAAACAGAUAUGUAUUCUUUUUCUUACCAUCCUACUUUCUCAACAUUUAUGUAUUCUCAUUUGUGUUGUGUUUGUUGAUGAUUUACUGGUGCGGAUUCUGUUUGUUAUUCUGGGAACCCUAGUACUUCAACUCCAACACCACCAGCAACUGGAAGUGGAGCCCCAACCCCAAGAACCGGAACCCCAACACCCGGAACCGGAACCGGAACCGAAACCGGAACUGGAACCCCGACACCAGGAACCGGAACUGGAACUGGAACUCCAGGGAUUGGAACAAGAACCGGAACUCCAGGGACCGGAACCGGAGCUAAACUUGAUUUUUUUUCAUUGGUUUGUUUCGAUUUCUAAUAUCAACUCUUUUGUCCUUAGCUAUAUCAUUUUUUUUUUCAAAAGUAGUUCACAAUAGUUGCUUCAAGUUCAUCCCUGUUAUUAAGUGCAUAGCAGCUUGCCUUUUGGUAUGAUGGAAUAAAGGAAGGAUAGAAUUUUUCAUUCCAUUGCUAGAUGGAAUUGAA